rnacentral:rRNA from 1 species
GAUGAACGCUGGCGGCGUGCCUAAUACAUGCAAGUCGAGCGAACAGACGAGGAGCUUGCUCCUCCGACGUUAGCGGCGGACGGGUGAGUAACACGUGGAUAACCUACCUAUAGGACUGGGAUAACUUCGGGAAACCGGAGCUAAUACCGGAUAAUAUAUUGAACCGCAUGGUUCAAUAGUGAAAGACGGUUUUGCUGUCACUUAUAGAUGGAUCCGCGCCGCAUUAGCUAGUUGGUAAGGUAACGGCUUACCAAGGCAACGAUGCGUAGCCGACCUGAGAGGGUGAUCGGCGACACUGGAGCGGAGACACGGUCCAGACUCCUGCGGGAGGCAGCAGUAGGGAAUCUUCCGCAAUGGGCGAAAGCCUGACGGAGCAACGCCGCGUGAGUGAUGAAGGUCUUCGGAGCGUAAAACUCUGUUAUUAGGGAAGAACAAAUGUGUAAGGAACUAUGCACGGCUUGACGGUACCUAAUCAGAAAGCAACGGCUAACUACGUG